rnacentral:lncRNA from 1 species
AUGUGACAUUGCAUUGGAUGUGGAGAGCUAUUGUAUCACUAGUAGUAACCCCUAAUGCACUGAUGGAAUUUCAAUAGCAAAAUAUAAUGAAAAAUAAAAGUCAAUAACAAAAAUCCAUUACCUGAUAUUCAACCGAUGAUCAAACCUCCCACUCAAAUAAUGCAUCAUGGGUGCUGGAUGGUUGUUGUAUACCUAAUAGUAACCCCCCAA